ACGUGUGCGACUACGGACGACAGAAUACCGUAGCCUCUUCUUCCACAUCUGCGCCUCUUCUUCGCUCACGCUCUGCAGUAGGUUUGCUUGCCCCUGCCCCUUCACGCCUGCUCUCUAUCACGCGCACACUCUCUUUCGCGUACACCGGUCCUCGUGCGCGCGAGUUGAGUGGCCUGAAUUGCCUUCGCAGCUCAGCGGGAGCAACUAUCGCGCAUUCAACGACCGCUUGUCAUCAAGUCCUGUGCCGCCGUUGCGGUCACACUCGGGCCCGACCCGUUUCUCUUCUCGCACUACACCUCGCUCUCGCGUGUGUCGAUCACGGCGUUAUCGGUUAAUACGCACAUAGACACGCGCGCGCACCCGCACAGCGAUCAUGCUAAGGUACAGCGCAGCUGCCGCUCUACUUAUCGUUCAACUGCAGCCGAUCCCGCUUGUGGAUCCUUCCCUCUGUCGGUGACCUGCGCCGACAUCACAUCGUUGUAGUGGUGCUGCGCACGUACCUCGUUGGCCGGCGCUCGGUGGAGUGGGGGAGUGGCGCGCACCGGUGACGGUGGUGACGAUUGCGCGGGGGGAGGACGGGGAGGUCCUCUCCGGACGGAAAGAGGGCGAGCAGAGGCGUCGGAGAGUGGAAGGAACCUCAUCCUACACUUCACCCGGGGCUGUGGCGGCUCAGCACUUGACAUCACGCCUGCUUCGCUGCCAGGGUGUGAGGGCAUCACUUGGUGUUUGUCUACUUGCGCUUGUGAAGGCAAGCUGGAGAGACAGCACCGCUGCGCAGCGUGGGCGUGGCCGUCUUUUCUGGAGAGUCGGGCAACUCGUCAUUGAUCAGCCACAGCCGUGACGGUAGCUGAAGGCGGAGGCGGAGGAGAGGCUUUCACACGCGCAUCUCACACAGACACGAAGUGAAAGGCGCCACACGUGUACACACACGCUUUUCUUGCAGUACUGGCCAUCGCUGAAAGGCAAGAGGGAGAGGGCGCGGAGGAGAAAGGGAGAGAAGCGUGCGCGAGAUCGGUGAGGAGUGGGCUCGCUUCUUUUUCUCGAUGAAGAGGGGCGCCCACGCCACACCUCGUCCUGCCCUGCUGCCCCUUCUCUGCAUGUAUUUCGUGAUUACCGUCUCGGGUUUGUUAUAUGCCCCGCAGGUGUCCGUGUGGAUGGACCACACAUACAUACACGCAUACACAUACACGUUUGUAUACGCAUACGCAGGAGCGCGUGUGUCUGGGUGUUCAUGUCGAGCAGCCCACUCGACGGCACAUCAUCAUCACCGCAUACAGGUCGUGCAUAUAACUUCAUAAGAGCGCAAGUCGCACACACACACACAUACAUACAUACACACACGCGCAUAAAUACAUGCAUGCAUACAUAUACACAUACAUAUAUCUCUAUAUAUACAUCUUCUCUCUCCUCUGUGCGUGUCUGUCUGUCUGUGUGUGCGUGUGCGUGCACGUGUGCGUAG
rnacentral:misc_RNA from 1 species